UCGGAAUUACUGGGCGUAAAGCGUGCGUAGGCGGUUUAUUAAGUCAGAUGUGAAAGCCCCGGGCUUAACCUGGGAACUGCAUUGAAACUGGUCAACUAGAGUAUGGUAGAGGAAAGUGGAAUUUCUGGUGUAGCGGUGAAAUGCGUAGAUAUCAGAAGGAACAUCAAUGGCGAAGGCAGCUUUCUGGACCAAUACUGACGCUGAGGUACGAAAGCGUGGGUAGCAAACAGGAUUAGAUACCCUGGUAGUCCACGCCGUAAACGAUGAUAACUAGCCGUUGGGGGGAUUUACCCUUUAGUGGCGAAGCUAACGCGUUAAGUUAUCCGCCAGGGGAGUACGGCCGCAAGGUUAAAACUCAAAGGAAUUGACGGGGACCCGCACAAGCGGUGGAGCAUGUGGUUUAAUUCGAUGCAACGCGAAGAACCUUACCUGGUCUUGACAUCCUGCGAACUUUCUAGAAGUAGAUUGGUGCCUUCGGGAACGCAGUGACAGGUGCUGCAUGGCUGUCGUCAGCUCGUGUCGUGAGAUGUUGGGUUAAGUCCCGUAACGAGCGCAACCCCUAUCCUUAUUUGCCAGCACGUCAUGGUGGGAACUAUAAGGAGACUGCCGGUGAUAAACCGGAGGAAGGCGGGGACGACGUCAAGUCAUCAUGGCCCUUACGACCAGGGCUACACACGUGCUACAAUGGGAAGGACAAAGAGCCGCGAAGCCGCGAGGUGUAGCUAAUCUCAGAAACCUUUUCGUAGUCCGGAUUGGAGUCUGCAACUCGACUCCAUGAAGUCGGAAUCGCUAGUAAUCGUAGAUCAGAAUGCUACGGUGAAUACGUUCCCGGGUCUUGUACACACCGCCCGUCAUACCAUGGGAGUGGGUUGCACCAGAAGUGGCUAGUCUAACUUAG
rnacentral:rRNA from 1 species